UACGUAGGGGGCAAGCGUUGUCCGGAUUUAUUGGGCGUAAAGAGCGUGUAGGCGGCCGCACAGGUCCGUUGUGAAAACUGGAGGCUUAACCUUCAGACGUCGAUGGAAACCGUGCGGCUAGAGUCCGGAAGAGGAGAGUGGAAUUCCUGGUGUAGCGGUGAAAUGCGCAGAUAUCAGGAAGAACACGCGUAGCGAAGGCGGCGCUCUGGGCCGGUACUGACGCUGAGGAGCGAAAGCGUGGGGAGCAAACAGG
rnacentral:rRNA from 1 species